GUCUGACCCAAAAACCCCCGUUUUCAACCCAAAAUGCCCCACCCAAAAAGCCCCAGUUUCGACCCAAAAUCAGCCCCGAAGCGUCUGACCCGAAAAGCGCCGUUUUCAACCCCAAAAUCAGCCCCAAAACGGGGCAGAUCGAAGCCAAAAUGUCUGACUCAAAAACCCCCGCUUUCAACCCAAAAUGCCUGACCCAAAAAGUCCCGCUUUCAACCCAAAAUCAGCCCCAAAAUGGGGCAGAUUCAACCUCAAAUGUCUGACCCAAAAAGCCUCGUUUUCAACCCAAAAUGUGCAACCCAAAAAGCCCCGUUCUCAACCCAACAUGUCUGACCCAAAAACCCACGCUUUCAACCCAAAAUGCCCCACCCAAAAAGCCCCAGUUUCGACCCCAAAUCAGCCCCAAAACGAGCAGAUUCCACCCAAAGAGUCUGACCCAAAAAGCCCUGGUUUCAACCCAAAAUCAGCACCCAAAUGGAGCAAAUUCAACCCAAAGUGUCUGACCCAAAAACCCCCGUUUUCAACCCAAAAUGCCCCACCCCAAAAGCCCCCUUUUCGACCCAAAAUCAGCCCCGAAGCGUCUGACCCGAAAAGCGCCGUUUUCAACCCCAAAUCAGCCCCCAAAUGGGGCACGUUCAACCCAAAAUCAGCCCCAAAACACAGCACGUUUAACCCACAAUGUCUGACCCAAAAAGCCCCGUUUUCAACCCAAAAUCAGCCCCAAAAUAAAGCAAAUUCAACCCAAAAUGCCCCACCCAAAAAGCCCCCUUUUCGACCCAAAGUGUCUGACCCAAAAAGCCCCACUUUUAACCCCAAAUCAGCCCCCAAAUGGAGCAGAUUCAACCCAAAGUGUCUGACCCAAAAACCCCCGUUUUCAACCCAAAAUGCCCCACCCAAAAAGCCCCCGUUUCGACCCAAAAUCAGCCCCGAAGCGUCUGACCCAAAAAGCGCCGUUUUCAACCCCAAAUCAGCCCCCAAAUGGAGCACAUUCAACCCAAAAUCAGCCCCCACAUGCAGUAGAUUCAACCCAAAGCGUCUGACCCAAAAACCCCCGUUUUCAACCCAAAAUGCCCAACCCAAAAAGCCCCCUUUUCGACCCCAAAUCAGCCCCCAAAUGGCGCACAUUCAACCCAAAAUCAGCCCCGAAACGGAGCACAUUCAACCCAAAGCGUCUGACCCAAAAACCCCCGCUUUCAACCCAAAAUCAGCCCCCAAAAUGGGGCAGAUUCAACCCAAAAUGUCUGGCCCCAAAAGCCCCCCCAUAUCCC
rnacentral:lncRNA from 1 species